rnacentral:lncRNA from 1 species
UUAAUUAACCCCCCACCAACCCCAUCCCCCUAUCUCUCGUAUUUUUUCCAAAACGAAACCCUAUCCUCUCAAUGUGUUUUUUAAUCUGAAAGCAUAUGAAGUCCUUAACAAUCAACUAUUUCAAAUUUUUCUCUCAAAGGCUGAAGACUCACGUGAUGUCUAUUUGAACUGGGUGAAGACUCAGAAACUGAUAAUAACAUGGUUAUCAAUUUGAACAGGUUUGUCACUUUUCUUCUCUUUUUGGUUGAAGACUAGAAAUUUCAUUUUAGUGAAUAUUGAUUAUAGAGAAUGAUAAUAUUUUGUACGGAUUCUGUUCAAUAUUUAUUGUUGCGGUGUAGGGUUUAAAGUGGGAGUAUUGAGAUGUGAGGAUGGCGGCUAUGAUUAGGUUUAAAGAUUGGGUGUAGAGCAAGGAGGAUGAGGGAAUAAAAAAAAUCUCCCUUUAGUUGUUUUGUUCGCGAGAAGAAAGA